ACCAAUUCAUCCACGCGAUCUCUCUGCAUCCCCGCUCCACUUCGUGCCCUAGGCCUAAUCGCCGCACCGGCGAUGACGGUGAGUGAUGCUUUGGGUUGCUGCCACCAGCCCUACUGCUCCCGGUCCCUUUGGUAGAUAUCACCGCAACCGCUCUCGUUCAUCCUAUUUUUUGACCCGUUUUCCUUAAUCCUAUCAACAGUGCCACUCAAUAUCUCGGCCACCGCAAAAGAUUGCUAGGUUUGGAGAUGGGAUUUCAGGUGCUAAUGUCUUUCGGAUCUCAAUUUUGUACAGGUUGUGUUCAUCAAGGUUCCAGUCAACUGAUUUGGGCAAAUCUUGGAGGUUGGUACUCAUCGAGCCGCCGAUCUUCAAUCUGAUCCAUUCAAGUCAGGCUUGACUGAUUGAUGCAGGGCGAAUCAAGGCGGGCCUGACUGAUUGAUGCAGGGCGAAGCAAGGCCGGGGUCAAUUUUUGUUGGUUCUAUCGGUAACGGCCUCGCUCGACACUUCCUUGGCGUUGACACUUACAUGCGGUGGAUUUUCACGCCCCUACGCCCCUUCUUCACUGGACAAUAAUACAAAGGGUAUUCCAAAUUUCCAUCUUUGCUCCUCCUCCAUGCUUUGUUCCCCCUUUUCGAGUGUUUGUAUUUUGCAACUUAAUUUCUUGUUUAUAUGGUUUAACAUGGAUUGAUUGGUCGAGGAGAGUACGGCAACAAGAUAUGGUGCUAGAGAUAUGGAUUUCCCAGGGAGUCAGCUCGAUGUAGUGUAGUAACCUCGGCUUACCUUAUCUUCGCGGCCUCUGAAUGCCGUUACAAUUUGAAAAUAAGGAUCCUUGAUUAUAUUGCUAUGUUUUCAUACACGGCUGUAUCUUCCGAAACCUGUGCUGGAUGCUUCGGGCGUUUGUGUUCCUCAAUGAGAAAUCGUUCCAUGCACCUGACAAUAGUGAGAACAGACUUCAGAACUUAUGUUAGAACAGUCCUGACUGGAACAGACUUAACUAAACUCUUAGCCUGAUAUGUAAUUCGUGGUAAAACCUUAGCUUCUUCUGGUUUUUUAAUAACUGUCUUGGCUCUGUUUUGCUUUGGAGCCACCCGGUAGUUCUAUGUUGCUGCACAGAUGCACCAUGCUUUUUAGGACUAACCUUUUUUCAUCAUAUCAAUUCUUCUGGAUGAUGUUCUAUUUGCUCAUUUUUAAACUCAUGGAAUGAAAAAAAUAUAUUCUCAAAUCCAAUUUUAAAACUGGAUAUGUUAGGUUUACAAGUAUGCAAUCCUGCAUUAAGGUAGUUUUUAAUGCGAUAAAUUUCCUCCUGCUCUCUUUACAAGUAUGCAAGGCUCAUAUCUCAAGUAUGGUCGAAGCAUUGCUGUUAGGCAAGGUGGUUAAUCGUGUCCAGAUUAUUGAUGAGUGGUUCUCAUCCUUUACUGUAGCUUCACCAAAGUUGUAUUGUUGCAUGCUUGCAGAUACGCGUAGUUUCAGUUUGACUUGUGAUAUUGAUAUUUUAUCAAAAAUAAUUCCAUACAUGAUGCAAAAAGAUCAUUCGGAAGUGAGCACGUUCCAUGUAAUCUGGGUGGCACUCACCCAUAUAUUCUAUGUACAGAACUCUCCGUUUGCACAACAUUAGAACAUUGGUAACAUAUUUUUACUCUGGUAUUCACUAAAGCUUGUACCAAACAAUCAUGGUGUGUUCCAUAGAUCGUUUUCUUCACAUCUAUGGGUUUCCAAGAUCCAAUCUUCUCCAGCAAAUAUAAUUGACCAUUACGCCCAUCAUUUUUAUGCAUCAAAACUUAGAUUGAGCAAUGGCACUACAUUACAUACACAACUUCUUUACUCUUCAUAGUAUUACUACAAAUUUUAUCAUGUAUCUUUAUGUUUCUUUGAAAAUGACUUCUAUCAUAUCAUGUAUCUUUAUGUUUCUUCGAAAAUUACUUCCUAUCAUAUCUCUUAGUAUACUUAUAAAAGUACCUACCAUUCUAUUCAAAAAAUAGACGGGCGCGGCAACGCGUGCCUUCGAUGAUCUAGUGUUCCUUGAAUUUUGUGUUCCUAACACGGUCGGGGUUUAUGGGCCCCCUUGUUUCUUUGUUUAAAGUAAAGCUAUCCUGAGGAGAUCCAACAUUGGUUUUACCAUUUGCCUAAUAACAACUAAAACUUGCAUAGGGGCCGGUUAGCACCCGAGGUCUCUUAGUCAACCCCCGAGCCAGUGCUCCUCAUGAGUGCUGGUCCACCAACCUAGCAGUCGGCGGUGCCGCCUCGGGGCAACUCGAGGUGUUUUGGCUAUCGUCCACUAUGCAUAGAUGGAUGAGUCCAUAGAUAGAGAGCGCGCGGCUCUGGACACGGAUCUGACUCACCGGGAGAUCUCCUUGGGAUAGUUUUCCUUUCUUCGAAGAGCUUGUGCACCGGGGUUCCGAGGUUACUCGGGGUGUCCCGAGAUGGAGGAUUGUCUCCGCGGAUCAUGAGAGCUGAUUGUCUCCGCGGAUCAUGAGAGCUUAUCAUGGGCUAAGUUGGGACACCCAUGCAAAGUUUAAACUUUCGAGAGUCGGGCCCGCGGUUAUUUGGUAGAUGGGAAUUUGUUAAUAUCCGGUUAUAUAGGACUUGAACUAAACUCAAUUAAAAUACACCUACCGCAUGCGUAACUGUGACUGUCUCUUUUCGGGUGUGUUCGAGAAGAGAACACGGUUGGGUUAUGUUUGAACGUAAGUAGUUCAGGAUCACUUAUUGAUCAUUACUAGUUUGCGACCGUUUACGUAGCUUUUCAUCUUACUCUUGUAUUUGUAAGUUAGCCACCAUACAAUGCUUAGCCGCUUGCUGCAACCUCACCACUUAUCCAUUCCAUACCCAUUAAGCUUUGCUAGUAUUGAUAUCCAUGGUAAUGGGAUUGCUGAGUCCUCGUGGCUCACAUAUUACUACAACAACAGUUGCAGGUACAGGCAAAGCGAUGCUUUGACGUGAGAGCGAUGCUUGCUUGUCUUGGAGUUCUUCUUCUGCUUCUUCUUCUUCGAUCAAGGGAUAGGUUCCGGGUCGGGGAGCCUGGGAUUAGCAGGGUGGAUGUCAUUCUUCUUUUCGUUUGUUUUCAUCCGUAGUCGGAUCCUGCUCUUUUGUAUGAUUAUUGUUAUGUAUUGAUGAACUGUUGUAUUCAUGUUGUAGCUUGUGGCGAGUGUAAGCCUUUAACUUGUAUUCUCAUCUAUUCAGUACAUGGUAUGUUGUAAUGAUAUCCACCUUGCUAUGCGCUCGAAAUACGAUUGUGC
rnacentral:lncRNA from 1 species